rnacentral:rRNA from 1 species
UACGGGAGGCAGCAGUGGGGGAAUAUUGCACAAUGGGCGCAAGCCUGAUGCAGCCAUGCCGCGUGUAUGAAGAAGGCCUUCGGGUUGUAAAGUACUUUCAGUCGUGAAGGAAGGUGUUAAGGUUAAUAACCUUAGCAAUUGACGUUAGCGACAGAAGAAGCACCGGCUAACUCCGUGCCAGCAGCCGCGGUAAUACGGAGGGUGCGAGCGUUAAUCGGAAUUACUGGGCGUAAAGGGCACGCAGGCGGUUAAUUAAGUUGGAUGUGAAAUCCCCGGGCUUAACCUGGGAAUGGCAUUCAAGACUGGUUAGCUAGAGUCUUGUAAAGGGGGUGAAUUCCAUGUGUAGCGGUGAAAUGCGUAGAGAUGUGGAGGAUACCGGUGGCGAAGGCGGCCCCUGGACAAAGACUGACGCUCAUGUGCGAAAGCUGGGGA